UUUAUUCUAAAAUGGGCUACUUAAAUAUUGGGCCAUAACAAAUGUUUUACUUUGCUGUGGUCAAGGCCAGCCAUAGGUCAUGUUCGUUUGCUUGUCGCUGGCGACUGAAACCAGCGACAGCGACCAAAAGUUGUUCGUUUGCCUGUCGCUGGUUCAGCGACCAAAACUAGUGACAGUCGCCAGCGACCAGCGACCGCAAUUUUUAUUCGCUGAAAUUUUAUCGAUCAGUCGCUGGUUUCGGCCCUGUUCGUUUGCCUGUCGCUGGCGACUGAAACCAGCGACAGCGACCAAAAGUUGUUCGUUUGCCUGUCGCUGGUUCAACGACCAAAAGUAGCGAGAGUCGCCAGCGACCAGCGAUCGCAAUUUUUGAUCGCUAAAAUUUUUAGCGAUCAGUCGCUAGUUUCAGCGAUUAGUCGCUGAAUCCAGCGACAUGCAAACGAACAACUUAGCGAUCAAAAUAAAUAAAUU
rnacentral:sRNA from 1 species